rnacentral:lncRNA from 1 species
GUUGCGAGAUGAAAGCACUCACCCUUCAAUCGUACUAUUCCCUUUCUGGAUCCAAACUGUGGAAAGACGAAUCGAGAAGAAGAAGAAGUAGAGAAUAAAAUCAAACAAUCACAAAGACAACAAUUUUACGUGGUUCACCCCAAUACGGGUUACGUCCACGGAGGCCACACGCACAGAUUCAAUAUAUUCAGCAAGGGUUACAAUGAUCUCUCUUCCUGUUGGAGAUUGCACACCUAGGGCUUACAAGAGAGAUAGAACUCCAAAAGAAACUCACUACAGCCGCUCUCAUCUCACCUAGGGUUCACCAAAAAACCUUAUUUAUAGGUUUUCAACACAUAAGGAAACUUCCCUACGAAAAACCCUAAGUCAAAAAACCCAUCUUGCCAUCGUUUCAAUCAAUCGCGUGAUCAGGAGUCGACUCUUCACUUUCAGGGGUCGACUCCUGAUAAGUUCGAGUCGACUCGGACAUCCUCGGGUCGACUCCAAGUAUCAGCACCAAAACUGGCACGCUCUGUCUUCCUGAGAGAGUCGACUCCUGCAGGGCUGGAGUCGACUCCUGCAGGACUAGAGUCGACUCCUGCAGGACUGGAGUCGACUCCUGCAAGCAACCCAAAAAACUGCUCUCUGUUUCUUCACUGUGGCAGAUGCGAGUCGACCCUCUCAUCCCUGGGGUCGACUCAAGCUUCACAUGAGUCGACUCCUAGAUGCUAGGGGUCGACUCCAUUCA